rnacentral:rRNA from 1 species
UAAAAGAACCGUCGGCAAGUAGUUCCUCAGUUGCGGGAAGGGUAGCGGUCUGUGUCACUAUCCGACUGUCGUGACCCGCCUCAGUUCCGGGAAGGGUAGCUGUCACUAUCUGACUGUCGUGGCCCGCGGGAACAGGAUGCCGAGGUGUGGGUGGAGGGGGGCGGGAGGCGGCUCAGCGCGGAGAAGAGGAUGGCCGGGCCGCCGCGAACGCGGCUUCAGAGGGCGGCAAGGUGCCGGCGCGCAACGGGACGGCCAAAGAAACCUUCUCUUACCGCCCUCCGUCACUCCGAUCCCCGCCCCUCACGCCGAUGAUGUGCUGCCUGCUGCGCGAGAGGGUCCACCCGAAGCCCUCCAAGGUCCGCGACCACGACCGGAUGCGGCCGCACCCGACCUGGCGCCUCCGGUACCUCUAGUACUACGACAGGAAGCAGCCGGGCAGGCACUUCCUGCUCACCCCUUAGAGCCCGGUCGUCCUCCCCGAGUAGUGGUCGCAGCAGAAGCGGCCCUACUAGUAGCCCCCGAAGGAGCCCCCGCAGUAGAGCCUGAGCAUACCGUCUUCCAUAUAUAUAGUACUUGAUAGUUAACCGAGAACAGUCAGUCUCGCUGUUUAAAGGCCUCUAUAAAAAACAAAGACGCCCUAAUUGGUUUAGUCUUAUUGAAUAGGGGGACUUACGUUUGAGGGUGGACAUCAUUAUUUUUGUUACGUAUGUAUACGUAGUAGAUAUACUUCAUUUGAAAUCCCCUUAUAAUACCACUUAAAUAAGACACUUCGUUUCGUUCGAAGAAAGAACUUCUUCACAUCGAUUCAUGUUUACUAUGACUUCAAGUAGAACUUAAUAACUCCCUUUUUUCCUUGACUUUUAAGUACAACGUGAGGUAUUACAGACAUAAACUAAGGGGUUUUGUUUAAAUUGUCUAACAAAAUUUUUUUUAAGUAACAGUCCUAACCAAAAGAUAAGUGGCGCCAACAGUGACCGUAUAAACCAAAAGAGUCACGAAACAGUGGAUUGAUGUACACGGAUAAUUGGGAGGCGAAAUAACAGCCAUACCCUAACCCACGACCAGUACAAGAACCAUGUACCAAGGAUCUCAAACAAGGACGACGUUUGUCCCCAUGAACCCACCAACAGAAGGUAACAUGAACCUGAAAACCUUGUUAGGAAGUCCGAGAAUAACGUACCCGAUAGUACGGUCAUGAACCUACCUCCACCAACUAUCGCAACAGAAGUUGUGGUACAAAGUAAGACGAAUAAAAGAUACCAUAUUGUGGACUUAGUGGUGCCAUGGAGACGAGUUCUCCAUCUUGUCGACUACGAGUUAAAUAAAACCUCUCUUAUCGUUAUUACUUGUUGUACCGAGACGGGAGACCGUGGAAUUAUCAACGGGGUGUUUCUUCCAGACUACUACAACAACUACGCCUCUGUUAUCAUGGCGACUAAGAAAGUGUUCUAUCACGACGUUGACUGCAAACGUACUCGAGGAGAUAUAGGUCUAGAUAAUUACGUAAGGCAUGUGAACACAGUGCUUCGGACUAAUCUAGAUGUGAAGAAGAAACCAAACAGAUGAAACGGAAAACAAAACGAAUGAUACCAUAUCAUAACGAUUGUAGCCUUGAUUCGUUACCACCUUCCUCUACACCUGGACAACCUUACGUAAACACCGUCGCUUUACUACGGUCUGAGAUGUCUCUACAGGACCACUGUUCAUAACGCCUUAAAGGACCAGACUAAAACCGCCGAGAUAAACAACUGUUUCAACCAGCGUUUGACAGUUACCCUCGCAAACGAAAAGACACGGAACAAAGGUAGCGUGGUGAACGACGUGGAGAUCUUCUUCCAAAUCGUUGGCAGGAAGAUAAGUCACGGGCCUGAACAUAGUGUCCUUCAAUACGACAAGAGAUAUAAAUGCCGGGACUCUAGAUGGGAAGUAGUACAGCCUUGUGGCCUCACCCACAGCGCUGAAGAGAGCCGGCCUAUCCACCGUACUAACGGGGUGAGUAUCGACAUCCUAACGAUCUCUCGACAGUAGUCUUUCUUCGACACAAACAGAAGCUAGAACAUGAGAAAGAACGUAGUCAACGGACACGGGAGAAGGGAGAUCUCUGGUUUCCGACGGUCUAAGUCAUUCUAGAGUCCGAGGUGUUAAAAAUACCUACCUACAUAUGGGUGGGUAGUCUAAUCUAAUGUCGAUGGUAUGUUGAUGUAAACGGUCCUUCGUAGUAUAACGGGGAUGAAAUCUCGCGUUAAUAACAUGUUUAUGAAGACUUUAUUUACUUUACCUUUAGGAGGUUGAAGAGUGGCGAGUAAGUUAGUUAUACAGUUUAGGACCGAGUAUCGUCAAGAGG